UGGGUGAUGGCGUGCCUUUUGUAGAAUGAACCGGCGAGUUACGAUCUGAUGCAAGGUUAAGCAGAAAAUGUGGAGCCGUAGCGAAAGCGAGUCUGAAUAGGGCGAAUGAGUAUUUGGUCGUAGACCCGAAACCAGGUGAUCUACCCUUGGUCAGGUUGAAGUUCAGGUAACACUGAAUGGAGGACCGAACCGACUUACGUUGAAAAGUGAGCGGAUGAACUGAGGGUAGCGGAGAAAUUCCAAUCGAACUUGGAGAUAGCUGGUUCUCUCCGAAAUAGCUUUAGGGCUAGCCUCAAGUGAUGAUUAUUGGAGGUAGAGCACUGUUUGGACGAGGGGCCCCUCUCGGGUUACCGAAUUCAGACAAACUCCGAAUGCCAAAUAAUUUAACUUGGGAGUCAGAAUGUGGGUGAUAAGGUCCAUAUUCGAAAGGGAAACAGCCCAGACCACCAGCUAAGGUCCCAAAAUAUAUGUUAAGUGGAAAAGGAUGUGGCGUUGCCCAGACAACUAGGAUGUUGGCUUAGAAGCAGCCAUCAUUUAAAGAGUGCGUAAUAGCUCACUAGUCGAGUGACACUGCGCCGAAAAUGUACCGGGGCUAAACAUAUUACCGAAGCUGUGGAUUGUCCUUUGGACAAUGGUAGGAGAGCGUUCUAAGGGCGUUGAAGCAUGAUCGCAAGGACAUGUGGAGCGCUUAGAAGUGAGAAUGCCGGUGUGAGUAGCGAAAGACGGGUGAGAAUCCCGUCCACCGAUUGACUAAGGUUUCCAGAGGAAGGCUCGUCCGCUCUGGGUUAGUCGGGUCCUAAGCUGAGGCCGACAGGCGUAGGCGAUGGAUAACAGGUUGAUAUUCCUGUACCACCAUUAUUCGUUUUAAGCGAUGGGGGGACGCAGUAGGAUAGGCGAAGCGUGCUGUUGGAGUGCACGUCCAAGCAGUGAGAUUGAGUGUUAGGCAAAUCCGGCACUCUUAAGAUUGAGCUGUGAUGGGGAGAGGAACUUGUUCCUCGAGUCGUUGAUUUCACACUGCCGAGAAAAGCCUCUAGCUAGAAUAACGGUGCCCGUACCGCAAACCGACACAGGUAGUCAAGAUGAGAAUUCUAAGGUGAGCGAGCGAACUCUCGUUAAGGAACUCGGCAAAAUGACCCCGUAACUUCGGGAGAAGGGGUGCUCUUUGAGGUUCACGCUUCGAAGAGCCGCAGUGAAUAGGCCCAAGCGACUGUUUAUCAAAAACACAGGUCUCUGCUAAACCGUAAGGUGACGUAUAGGGGCUGACGCCUGCCCGGUGCUGGAAGGUUAAGAGGAGUGGUUAGCGCAAGCGAAGCUACGAAUCGAAGCCCCAGUAAACGGCGGCCGUAACUAUAACGGUCCUAAGGUAGCGAAAUUCCUUGUCGGGUAAGUUCCGACCCGCACGAAAGGCGUAACGAUUUGGGCACUGUCUCAACGAGAGACUCGGUGAAAUCAUAGUACCGGUGAAGAUGCCGGUUACCCGCGACAGGACGGAAAGACCCCGUGGAGCUUUACUGUAGCCUGAUAUUGAAAUUCGGUACAGUUUGUACAGGAUAGGUAGGAGCCUUAGAAGCGUGAGCGCUAGCUUACGUGGAGGCAUUGGUGGGAUACUACCCUAAUUGUAUUGGAUUUCUAACCCGCAGCACUUAUCGUGCUGGGAGACAGUGUCAGGCGGGCAGUUUGACUGGGGCGGUCGCCUCCUAAAGAGUAACGGAGGCGCUCAAAGGUUCCCUCAGAAUGGUUGGAAAUCAUUCAUAGAGUGUAAAGGCAUAAGGGAGCUUGACUGCGAGACCUACAAGUCGAGCAGGGUCGAAAGACGGACUUAGUGAUCCGGUGGUUCCGCAUGGAAGGGCCAUCGCUCAACGGAUAAAAGCUACCCCGGGGAUAACAGGCUUAUCUCCCCCAAGAGUUCACAUCGACGGGGAGGUUUGGCACCUCGAUGUCGGCUCAUCGCAUCCUGGGGCUGUAGUCGGUCCCAAGGGUUGGGCUGUUCGCCCAUUAAAGCGGUACGCGAGCUGGGUUCAGAACGUCGUGAGACAGUUCGGUCCCUAUCCGUCGUGGGCGUAGGAAAUUUGAGAGGAGCUGUCCUUAGUACGAGAGGACCGGGAUGGACAUACCUCUGGUGUACCAGUUGUCGUGCCAACGGCAUAGCUGGGUAGCUAUGUAUGGACGGGAUAAGUGCUGAAAGCAUCUAAGCAUGAAGCCCCCCUCGAGAUGAGAUUUCCCAACUUC
rnacentral:rRNA from 1 species